GAUGAACGCUGGCGGCGUGCCUAAUACAUGCAAGUCGAGCGAACAGACGAGGAGCUUGCUCCUCUGACGUUAGCGGCGGACGGGUGAGUAACACGUGGAUAACCUACCUAUAAGACUGGGAUAACUUCGGGAAACCGGAGCUAAUACCGGAUAAUAUAUUGAACCGCAUGGUUCAAUAGUGAAAGACGGUUUUGCUGUCACUUAUAGAUGGAUCCGCGCUGCAUUAGCUAGUUGGUAAGGUAACGGCUUACCAAGGCAACGAUGCGUAGCCGACCUGAGAGGGUGAUCGGCCACACUGGAACUGAGACACGGACCAGACUCCUACGGGAGGCAGCAGUAGGGAAUCUUCCGCAAUGGGCGAAAGCCUGACGGAACAACGCCGCGUGAGUGAUGAAGGUCUUCGGAUCGUAAAACUCUGUUAUUAGGGAAGAACAAAUGUGUAAGUAACUAUGCACGUCUUGACGGUACCUAAUCAGAAAGCCACGGCUAACUACGUG
rnacentral:rRNA from 1 species